AUUGAACGCUGGCGGCAGGCCUAACACAUGCAAGUCGGGCGGUAGAGAGAAGCUUGCUUCUCUUGAGAGCGGCGGACGGGUGAGUAAUGCCUAGGAAUCUGCCUGGUAGUGGGGGAUAACGUUCGGAAACGGACGCUAAUACCGCAUACGUCCUACGGGAGAAAGCAGGGGACCUUCGGGCCUUGCGCUAUCAGAUGAGCCUAGGUCGGAUUAGCUAGUUGGUGGGGUAAUGGCUCACCAAGGCGACGAUCCGUAACUGGUCUGAGAGGAUGAUCAGUCACACUGGAACUGAGACACGGUCCAGACUCCUACGGGAGGCAGCAGUGGGGAAUAUUGGACAAUGGGCGAAAGCCUGAUCCAGCCAUGCCGCGUGUGUGAAGAAGGUCUUCGGAUUGUAAAGCACUUUAAGUUGGGAGGAAGGGCAGUAAAUUAAUACUUUGCUGUUUUGACGUUACCGACAGAAUAAGCACCGGCUAACUCUGUG
rnacentral:rRNA from 1 species